rnacentral:rRNA from 1 species
GAAGGUGGCGAAUGUUGCUCGGAUUCACUGGGCGUAAAGCGUCGGUAGGAGGCUUGUUAAGUUAGGUGUGAAAGCCCCGCGCUCAACGUGGGAAUUGCACUUAAAACUAACUGGCUUGAAGGUAUGAGAGGAAGGCGGAAUAACUGGUGUAGAGGUAAAAUUCAUAGAUAUCAGUUGGAACACCCAUGGCGAAGGCAGCUUUCUGGCAUAUUCUUGACUCUGAGCGACGACAGCGUGGGGAGCAAACAGGAUUAGAUACCCUGGUAGUCCACGCCGUAAACGAUGCAUGCUCGCUGUCGGUCUCGCUACAGAGAUCGGUGGCUUAGCUAACGCGGUAAGCAUGCCGCCUGGGGAUUACGGCCGCAAGGUUA